rnacentral:misc_RNA from 1 species
AAGGAAUUAGCCUUACGAAGAAGAGUGUGAAAUAGGUGAUAUACUUGAGUUCUCCUUAGCAUGGGAGAUUGAGCUCUCGUCCUACAUUGGUGACUCGGUUGUCACCUUGCGGCCAAGGGGAAACAUGCCGUGUGACCAACUUCGAAGUGCAUCCAAUUGAGAUAUGUUCUGCAGUGCUAAAGCCCUCGACGACCGUGGAUAUGAAACACAAUGGUCUGUUUAUUAAUGAUAUGCCUGCAGAACUUUUGAGUUGGCCAGCUUGUUUAUUUGUACAUAUCUGACCGGCUGCUACUUGAACCAACAAAAUCGCGCCCCAACUCAACAGAUGUUUCCCUCUUGAAUAGACAGAUCAAUCAAUCAUGGAGAUAAUAAUAUUGGGUGCUGACUGACUAUCUUCGCCAAGCAAAGGUAUUCUCUAUGCUGGUAGCUGCAAUUCUUAUUAUGGGUUUGGCUCCUCCGGCAGAGUUUUUCAGAAGAGUAUUUUCAGU